rnacentral:rRNA from 1 species
AAGAAUUUAAAAGUCGAACAGACUUAAAAUUUGAACGGCUACACCCAAAAUUAUAUCUUAAUCCAACAUCGAGGUCGCAAUCUUUUUUAUUGAUAUGAACUCUCCAAAAAAAUUACGCUGUUAUCCCUAAAGUAACUUGAAUUUUUAAUCAUUAUUAAUGGAUCAAUUAUUCAUAAAUUAAUGGAUUUUAAAAUUAAAAGUUUUUUAAAUUUUAACAUCACCCCAAUAAAAUAUUUUAAUUUAUUAUAAUAAAAAUAAUCUUUAUAAUUAAAAUAAACAAAAUAUAAAGAUUUAUAGGGUCUUCUCGUCUUUUAAAUUAAUUUUAGCUUUUUCACUAAAAAAUAAAAUUCUGUUAAAAAUUUAAAUGAAACAGUUAAUAUCUCGUCCAACCAUUCAUUCCAGCCUUCAAUUAAAAGACUAAUGAUUAUGCUACCUUUGCACAGUUAGGAUACUGCGGCCAUUUAAAAAUUUCAGUGGGCAGGUUAGACUUUAAAUUUAAUUCAAAAAGAC